GGCUCGGUGGUGGAUGGUCCACGCCCGCAUUUGAUUGGAAAUCAUGAUUCAGCGGAAUGCGCUCGUUCGACUCGAGCCCGGGCCC